GACCUAGCGGCGGANGGGUGAGUAAUGCUUAGGAAUCUGCCUAUUAGUGGGGGACAACAUUCCGAAAGGAANGCUAAUACCGCAUACGCCCUACGGGGGAAAGCAGGGGAUCUUCGGACCUUGCGCUAAUAGAUGAGCCUAAGUCGGAUUAGCUAGUUGGUGGGGUAAAGGCCUACCAAGGCGACGAUCUGUAGCGGGUCUGAGAGGAUGAUCCGCCACACUGGGACUGAGACACGGCCCAGACUCCUACGGGAGGCAGCAGUGGGGAAUAUUGGACAAUGGGCGGAAGCCUGAUCCAGCCAUGCCGCGUGUGUGAAGAAGGCCUUUUGGUUGUAAAGC
rnacentral:rRNA from 1 species